rnacentral:lncRNA from 1 species
ACCCACGCGGCGCAGCUCCCAAAGUUGCAGACAGCCGGGCAAACCGCGCAAUGCGCUUCUUCUGCCCGCCGCAGAGAAAAGGAAAGAAAACUCCGCAGGGGCUCCGUUGGCUUCUCCACGAGUGACAACCAUGCUUUCCCAGAUAGAAGACCGGAGCCCUGCUCCUUUGCGAUCCGCCGAGGGCUGCAAAGAGCAUCCUCAUCCAUUUGGGCACCCCUGCCCAGGAAGAGCCCGGCCAUCCCUUUCCAGACUGGAUCCUUCAGAGGUGAAUUUUCUUCGGUGGAUUCCGAUUUGCUCCGUCUGACCAACCUAGGCAAUCCAGCAUCGCGUGGUACCAGUGCCGCUGGGCACACUCGCUUCACGCCGGCUCCGCCUUACCAGCAAGCGCAUUCCCAGGUGGUCAGGCUCAGGAUGGACCAUGAGCUUUCAAAAAGGAAAAAGGUGGAAAUCCUCAACUAUGCUGCCAUCUGAAUAAGUGUUUCUUUGUAGAUACACAGAGUCAAGGAAAAUUACAUCCCUGCAUUAUGUAAUGUACCAACAACGCACUUACCCACUGUUUUAAUCUAGGUUAUUCUUGAAAGCAGAGCCUGAGACAAAGGUAGACACAUUCUAUUUAUGAGUCUAACACCCAGGAGCAGGAAUGAGAGAUAAGGGAGUGAACAUGGGGAAAAGGGAAACUAAGUCCAAGCAAAACCAGAUACUGCUCUUAUCAAGUGGUCUACCCCUCUUAAUGGCUACAUAAUGCGAAACUUUCUCAGCAUUCUUCUUAAACUUUAUCUCAGAACUGUCUGCCUCAGGGAGAAAGGAGAAGUAUUUCUCCAUCAGCAGCCACCUCCUGUGUGUUGAGGGCUGCUCCUUUGGGGCAUUAACCCACCGCCCCCAUCACCCCAUCCCUCUGGGCUGCACAGAGCUAGCUGAAAGCCCAGCUGGUACCUUAGCAUCACACAUUGCUGCAUCAGAGAGGUCUUAAGACAGGAAGCUAGAGUCUUGGUGCGUGCUCGAAGUGAGACAGUGUCAGCACAGAGCAGGUUAAAAUCUUCCGUAACUGUUCACCAGAGCUAUGACUGGAAUCAGAGGUUGAAAAGAUGUGAGACCGUACUCAAGAAGCAUCUUAUAAGCCUAUGUAACAUACUGUUAGACUCAUCGAAAUCUAUUUCCUUCCUUCUUUAUAAUAAAAACUUAAGUGUCCAGAAUAAAGUUGGCAGAAGGGUUAAAUAGGAAAGCUAAAUGUACUAGAAGGUGUACAUUUAUAAGUUUUAACCUUGAGUCAUGUUCAAAGAGAAAGUGACAUUGGAACUCGAAAAAUUUAAAAAAUGAUUUUACUUGAAAAAUUUGAACAUUGCAUAGAAAUAUUAGCUAUCGUCUAAUCUUUUGUAAUCUCAGAAACAGUCGUGAAUUGUUUGGUGAAAAAUGAAAAAAUUAACCAUUUCUUAUGUCUCCGUGACCUUUAUAGACCAAUGUCACUAACUUUUCCUAAGAUAAUUGUUUCCUACUGUCAAAUAGCUCUAGUGAUAUAAAUCUUACAACCAAUGAAGGGAAAACUGGUAGAAACAUAGGAAGAAAAAUACUGGGAUAAUUUUCAUCACAUAAAGUGUUGGCAUUAACAUUGGUUAGAAUAGGGGAGAAACUGCAUGACUUGACAACUGGACAUUCCUGUAUGUUGUGUGAGGCCCUAUCUUAACAGAAAUAGUGAUGUCAUCAUCAUCCUCUCUUAUUUGGUCUUGAAUUGCCACCAAUAGGAUAAAACCUUUGAAUUAUUUAACUCAGUAUAUGUUAAGUUUCUACUAUGUGCUAUGUAUUGAUACUAUAAAUAUGAAUAAGACAUAAAAUAUUACAUUCAAAAACAUCAGAAUACAUGUUCUUUCAAAGUAUACCCCAAAACAUUUACCACGUGUUCUGGGGCGCAUGUUAGGCUGGAUCACAAAUCAAGUCUCAAGAAAUUUCAAAAGACUGAAAUCAUAUAGAGUGUGAAUUAAACCAGAAAUCAAGUACAUAAAGGUAACAAAAAAUUUCCUAAAUGCAUUGAUUUAAGGAACAUACACCUCAUGACCCAUGAGCCAAAAAAUAAAUCACAGCAAAAUUGCAAAAAUAUUUUCAAAUUAAUUUUAAAGAAAAUACUUAGCACAUUAAAUACUUAGCAUAUUAAAGCUCUAAGUACAUAUGUUAGAAAUUUUACCAAAGGGUUGGCUAUCAGUGUUUCCAGAAGCCAGGGAGAAAGUUUAUACAACUUGAUCGCUGAGGCAGGGAAACAAAGUGAGACCUCCGAUUGCCCUGCCCUUCCGAGGUCAGCACUCUGGAUCCCAUCGCAGGAGAUCAGGGUCUUGCUGAGUUGAGGAGAGGAAGAUUGGAGUUGAGACUGAGAUAGCUUGAAUUUUCAGGACAAAGUAUCAACAAGGAGGAAGGUAGACAAAGAAAAAAAACCCAGAAAUCUACGUACAGACCCCAUUGUGUACAUCGUGGAACACAGCCUAACAAUCCUCAAAAUUAGCGUGAGAUUGGGAAAUACCUAAUUUCCAUUCAGCCACAGUGGAGAGUCCUGACUGAAAACCAGGCACUUGCCGAAGAUCCCAGAAAGGUUACGUGUUAUAUACGUAGGGCUAAACUAUCCUGACUAAAAACUACACUACACUUGCUCCCCACCCACACAAAAAGCUUAAAAACAAGCCUCAAUAGUAUAAAGCUGAUCUGUAAGUAACUAAACUACCUGACAGAACAAAGUCCAAAUUUAUUAGUUCCAAUCCUCC